CAUCACUACGCUAGAUGCAUAUCAAUAAGCGGAGGAAAAGAAACUAACAAGGAUUCCCUAGUAACGGCGAGUGAAGCGGGAAGAGCUCAAAUUUGAAGUCUUCAAGGUUUUACCUUGACGAAUUGUAGUUUAAAGAAGUGUUUUCUGUUGAAGUUUGGUAAAAGUUCUUUGGAAUAGGACAUCAUAGAGGGUGAGAAUCCCGUAUUUGACCGUUACUUUCCAGCUGUGUGAUACACUUUCAAAGAGUCGGAUUGUUUGGGAAUGCAGUCCAAAAUGGGUGGUAAAUUUCAUCUAAAGCUAAAUAUUGGCGAGAGACCGAUAGCGAACAAGUACCGUGAGGGAAAGAUGAAAAGAACUUUGAAAAGAGAGUUAAACAGUACGUGAAAUUGUCAAAAGGGAAGCGUUUGACACCAGUGUUGUUUAGUUGAAAAUCAAUUCAAUAAUUUUUGAUUCUGAGUAGUAUUGACUUCAUCAGCUUGCUGCUUUCUUCUCAGAAAUUAUUGAAUGCACUUUUCAGUUAACAAGUCAACAUCAAUUUCUUUUGUUGUAAAAGGGUAAGAGGAAGGUGGCUUACGCUUCGGCGUCAAGUGUUUAUAGCCUUUUAUCUCUGCAAUCGGAGAGAUUGAGGUACAUGCAGCGUAGACUCCUUCGGGGUUAGAUACACUUGUGCUAAGCUAUAGCCUUGUAUAGACAACUUGUUGACUAUGCUCAGUCAUGUAGCUUACUCGCUGAUGCUAUUUUACCUACGCUUAGGAUGUUGACACACGCGCGUGCUCG
rnacentral:rRNA from 1 species